rnacentral:rRNA from 1 species
AGAGAGAGACAUGCGCGCAUAUCAAUAAGCGGAGGAAAAGAAAGCUAACUAAGGAUUCCCUCAGUAACGGCGAGUGAAGCGGGAAGAGCUCAAAUUUGAAAUCUUCAAGGUUUUACCUUGACGAAUUGUAGUUUAAAGAAGUGUUUUCUGCUGAAGUUUUGGUAAAAGUUCUUUGGAAUAGGACAUCAUAGAGGGUGAGAAUCCCGUAUUUGACCAUUAUUUUCAGCUUUGUGAUACACUUUCAAAGAGUCGGAUUGUUUGGGAAUGCAGUCCAAAAUGGGUGGUAAAUUUCAUCUAAAGCUAAAUAUUGGCGAGAGACCGAUAGCGAACAAGUACCGUGAGGGAAAGAUGAAAAGAACUUUGAAAAGAGAGUUAAACAGUACGUGAAAUUGUCAAAGGGAAGCGUUUGACACCAGUGUUGUUUUCUCGAAAAUCAAUUAAAAAUGGCUCGAUUUUGUAUUGUUGAGACCUUAAAAGCUCACUGUACAUUUUUCGUGUCUUUUUUAAUGCACUUUUCGUUUAACAAGUCAACAUCAGUUUCUUUUGUUGUAAAAGGGUCAUUGGAAGGUGGCUUUCUUUUCGGAGAAAGUGUUUAUAGCCUUUGGCCUCUGCAAUCGGAGAGACUGAGGUCUGCAGCGUAGACUCUUCGGGGUUAGAUACAUUUGUGCUAAGUUAUAGCUUUUUAUAGACAACUUGUUGACUAUAAUUAGUCUUGUAGCUUACUCGCUUAUGCUAUUUUACCUACGCUUAGGAUGUUGAAGAUGUAGCACAUCAU